rnacentral:pre_miRNA from 1 species
AAUAAAUACAGUUUUAUACUGUUCAUGUAAAAUAUUUAACCAUUUAUCUUAUUUAAAAAAAUUUCUAUUUAGUAAUUUUGUUGUUAUUAGAUGAUAAAGUAUGAAUAGUAUUUUAUGUGUAACUAAUUUUUUAAAUUUUUUUCAUAAAUAUUUUUGAAUAAGACGAACGAUCAAACGUUGCACACGGAUUUUCAUGGCUGUAAUUAUU